rnacentral:lncRNA from 1 species
ACGAAUAACACUUAAAAAAUAAAAAUUUUUAAUUUUUUUUUUUAAUUUUUUAUAAUCAGGACAAAACUAUUAUAUAAAAUCGUAAUCCAAAAAAUAGUAUCAUAUUAAUUUUAUAAACACAUAUACAUACAUAUAUACAUAUAUAUAUAUAUAUAUAUAUAUAUGUGUACAAUUGUUUAUCGUUAAAAUAGAGUAUAUACACUAAUAUAUGUUUUAUUAACAUGAAUAGUAGAUAUUUUUAUAAUGGUAAUAUAGAACAAUUUGCUUUCUCAAAACUUUUUUUUUUGUUUUUUUAACUUUUGUUUUUCGUCUAUUUAUUUUUAUAUUUAUUGAAGUUAAAUUCUUCUUCAAAAAUUGAAUUUAUAACCCAUAAUUAUUUUUUUUUAAUAAUUUUAUUUAAAACUUUUUAAAAGAUUAAAAAUGAUGAAAAACGUUAUUUUUUUAUUAGCUUUUCUUUUUCUUUUUUCUUUACAAGUAUGUCAUAUGUUAAAAGUGGAAGGUUUUGGGACUGAGCACAAGGGGCUCAUGUUUUUUCAAAUCGAUAGAGAUAUGAACGAGCCUCCUUAUUAUGCUAUUAAUGUUCAUUAUACGGAAUCCAACAUAAAUGAAGAUUUAUUAAAUAAAAUAAACAACAACAGAAAUGUGGAAAAACAUAAAAAACAAAAUUAUUUUAGAAAGAAUUUAAUCGGGAAUAAAUACUUUAUGGAUUAUGCGAAAAGACAAAAGGAACAGCUAGAAGCACUAAUUGGUACCAUAAAUAAAAAAAAUUAAAUAAAUACAAAAAACAUAAAAUAAGCAUAAUACAAUUGAUAAACUGGAUAGUUACCCUCUUUUUU